rnacentral:sRNA from 1 species
UGUGCCUGCUCUGCCAAAUCGUCUCCGAUCGCCUUCAGGACGCCGCUUAUGCGGCCUGUUGGCUCUUGUUAUCCCGGCGUCCUUCAUGUAUAGGCACGCCAUCCUAAUGGGAAGCCGUAGCCAUCACGACUGCGGCUUCAUUUAUUCAAUCGGUUCGGUGGCCGCAACUGCAUGCGGCAAUUUGAACUCCGGUAUCGCAGGAAGAUUGUUA